ACUGAGCGGCGGACGGGUGAGUAACGCGUGGGUAACCUGCCUCAUACAGGGGGAUAACAGUUGGAAACGGCUGCUAAUACCGCAUAAGCGCACAGUACCGCAUGGUACGGUGUGAAAAACUCCGGUGGUAUGAGAUGGACCCGCGUCUGAUUAGGUAGUUGGUGGGGUAACGGCCUACCAAGCCGACGAUCAGUAACCGACCUGAGAGGGUGACCGGCCACAUUGGGACUGAGACACGGCCCAA
rnacentral:rRNA from 1 species